GGUAACUGAAAAACUCAGUCUGAUGGUAGACCUCGAGCAGGACUUGUUCCUAUUGAGAUUGUAAGCUUUCAUGGUAUGAUAGAGCUGCGUGAUGCCUCGCACUGGAGUGUUUGUCUACCCUCGGGAUUUCAAAUCAACCAGCAAAAAGCCAAGUAGGUGCUGGGCAGCAAUGGCGGCAUCUGAUUUCAGUAUUUUAUACCAGUAAGGAAUUGAUUGACCUGGGAAAUAGCAUGGGUGUAAAUGGGAAAGAGGGACUUAGCAAGGAGAUUGUGAAGGCCAUUAUAGACUAUCAUAGGGUAAUAAAAAGAAUAAACAGCGAGUCGUGUGUGAAGCUAGCCAUGAGGCUGGUACUCUCAAAGAUUACUGGAUUGGUAGCCUUUUAAAAGAAAAAACUGUUCCUAAGUCUGUGGAC